rnacentral:rRNA from 1 species
GGACUACUGGGGUUUCUAAUCCUGUUUGCUCCCCACGCUUUCGUGCAACAGCGUCAAUAACUUGCCAGACAGUCGCUUUCGCCACUGGUAUUCCUCCUAAUAUCUACGGAUUUCACCCCUACACUAGGAAUUCUACUGUCCCCUCAAGUAUUCUAGUCGAGCAGUAUUAAAAGCAGUUCUGAGGUUGAGCCUCAGGAUUUCACUUCUAACUUACAAGACCGCCUACGCACGCUUUACGCCCAAUGAUUCCGAGUAACGCUAGCUCCCUUCGUAUUACCGCGGCUGCUGGCAC